AAGGGUAUAGCUUAAGUGAUAAGAGCACAUGCUUAGCAUGCACAAGGUCCUGGGUUCAAUCCCCAGUACCUCCA
rnacentral:tRNA from 1 species